UACGUAGGGUGCAAGCGUUGCCCGGAUUUAUUGGGCGUAAAGGGCGCGUAGGCGGCUCGGAACGUCCGUUGUGAAAUCGCCCGGCUCAACUGGGCGGGGUCAGCGGAUACGGCCGAGCUUGAGCAAGCUAGGGGGCAAUGGAAUUCCCGGUGUAGUGGUGGAAUGCGUAGAGAUCCGGAGGAACACCAGCGGCGAAGGCGGCAUCCUGGACUGGUCCUGACACUCAUGAGCGAAAGCGUGGGGAGCGAUCCGG
rnacentral:rRNA from 1 species